rnacentral:rRNA from 1 species
GACGAACGCUGGCGGCGUGCUUAACACAUGCAAGUCGAACGGAAAGGCCCUGCGUUUGUGGCGCGCACGAGUGGCGAACGGGUGAGUAGCACGCGAGUAACCUGCCCCUGACUUUGUGAUAACUUCACGAAACUGGGGCUAAUAUCGGAUAGGAGCUCCUGCUGCAUGGUGUGGGUUGGUAAGUUUCGGCUGUUGGGUAUGGACUCGCGGCUUAUCAGCUUCUUUGUGUGGUAGUGGCUUACCAAGGCUUUGACGGGUAGCCGGCCUGAGAGGGUGACCGGCCACCAUGGGACUGCGGGACGGAGCAGUCUGCAACGGGAGGCAGCAGUCGGGAAUAUUACAGAGUGGGCGGAAGCCUGAGGCGAAGACGCCGCGUGCGGGAUGACCGCCUUCGAGUUAUAAACCGCUUUCGCAUGAGACGAAGCGUGAGUGACGGUAAUGGGUAAAGAAGCACCGGCUAACUACGUG